rnacentral:rRNA from 1 species
UACGGAGGGUGCAAGCGUUAUCCGGAUUCACUGGGUUUAAAGGGUGCGUAGGAGGGCAGGUAAGUCAGUGGUGAAAUCUCCAAGCUUAACUUGGAAACUGCCAUUGAUACUAUCAAUCUUGAAUACCGUGGAGGUCAGCGGAAUAUGUCAUGUAGCGGUGAAAUGCUUAGAUAUGACAUAGAACACCAAUUGCGAAGGCAGCUGGCUACACGAAUAUUGACACUGAUGCACGAAAGCGUGGGGAUCAAACAGG